rnacentral:rRNA from 1 species
UACAGAGGUCUCAAGCGUUGUUUGGAUUCAUUGGGCGUAAAGGGUGCGUAGGCGGCGCGGUAAGUCGGGUGUGAAAUUUCGGAGCUUAACUCCGAAACUGCAUUCGAUACUGCGGUGCUUGAGGACUGGAGAGGAGACUGGAAUUUACGGUGUAGCAGUGAAAUGCGUAGAGAUCGUAAGGAAGACCAGUGGCGAAGGCGGGUCUCUGGACAGUUCCUGACACUGAGGCACGAAGGCCAGGGGAGCAAACGGG